rnacentral:rRNA from 1 species
AUGCACGCUGGCGGCGUGCCUAAUACCUGCCAGUCGAGCGAACAGACGAGGAGCUCGCUCCUCUGACGUUAGCGGCGGACGGGUGAGUAACACGUGGAUAACCUACCUAUAAGACUGGGAUAACUUCGGGAAACCGGAGCUAAUACCGGAUAAUAUAUUGAACCGCAUGGUUCAAUAGUGAAAGACGGUUUUGCUGUCACUUAUAGAUGGAUCCGCGCCGCAUUAGCUAGUUGGUAAGGUAACGGCUUACCAAGGCAACGAUGCGUAGCCGACCUGAGAGGGUGAUCGGCCACACUGGAACUGAGACACGGUCCAGACUCCUACGGGAGGCAGCAGUAGGGAAUCUUCCGCAAUGGGCGAAAGCCUGACGGAGCAACGCCGCGUGAGUGAUGAAGGUCUUCGGAUCGUAAAACUCUGUUAUUAGGGAAGAACAAAUGUGUAAGUAACUAUGCACGUCUUGACGGUACCUAAUCAGAAAGCCACGGCUAACUACGUG